rnacentral:rRNA from 1 species
UACGUAGGGUGCAAGCGUUAUCCGGAAUUAUUGGGCGUAAAGGGCGCGUAGGCGGCUAGAUGUGUCAAAGGUGAAAUCCCUCGGCUCAACUGAGGAACUGCCUUUGAAACUGUCUGGCUUGAGGCCGGGAGAGGGUAGCGGAAUUCCCAGUGUAGCGGUGAAAUGCGUAGAUAUUGGGAGGAACACCAGUGGCGAAGGCGGCUACCUGGACCGGUUCUGACGCUGAGGCGCGAAAGCGUGGGUAGCAAACAGG